rnacentral:rRNA from 1 species
UAGGGAAUCUUCCGCAAUGGGCGAAAGCCUGACGGAGCAACGCCGCGUGAGUGAUGAAGGUCUUCGGAUCGUAAAACUCUGUUAUUAGGGAAGAACAAAUGUGUAAGUAACUAUGCACGUCUUGACGGUACCUAAUCAGAAAGCCACGGCUAACUACGUUCCAGCAGCCGCGGUAAUACGUAGGUGGCAAGCGUUAUCCGGAAUUAUUGGGCGUAAAGCGCGCGUAGGCGGUUUUUUAAGUCUGAUGUGAAAGCCCACGGCUCAACCGUGGAGGGUCAUUGGAAACUGGAAAACUUGAGUGCAGAAGAGGAAAGUGGAAUUCCAUGUGUAGCGGUGAAAUGCGCAGAGAUAUGGAGGAACACCAGUGGCGAAGGCGACUUUCUGGUCUGUAACUGACGCUGAUGUGCGAAAGCGUGGGGAUCAAACAGG